rnacentral:rRNA from 1 species
UAAGACGAAGGUGGCAAGCGUUGUUCGGAAUCACUGGGCUUAAAGCGCGCGCAGGCGGAAAAGUAAGCGUCUUGUGAAGUCCCCCGGCUUAACCGGGGAACUGCUCGGCGAACUGCUUUUCUUGAGGCAGGUAGAGGUGCAUGGAACUCUUGGUGGAGCGGUGGAAUGCGUAGAUAUCAAGAGGAACGCCAGUGGAGAAGUCGGUGCACUGGGCCUGUCCUGACGCUGAGGUGCGAAAGCGUGGGGAGCGAACGGGAUUAGAUACCCCGGUAGUCCACGCCGUAAACGAUGUCUACUAGGUUGCGGGAGUUCUGACACUUUCGCGGCCGGAGCAAAAGUGAUAAGUAGACCGCCUGGGGAGUACGGUCGCAAGGCUA